CCCUUAGAUGUUAUGGGCCGCACGCGCGCUACACUGAUGCAUUCAACGAGCCUAUCCUUGACCGACAGGUCCGGGUAAUCUUUGAAUCUGCAUCGUGACGGGGAUAGAUUAUUGCAAUUAUUAAUCUUCAACGAGGAAUGCCUAGUAGGCGCAAGUCAUCAGCUUGCGUCGAUUACGUCCCUGCCCUUUGUACACACCGCCCGUCGCUCCUACCGAUUGGGUGUGCUGGUGAAAUGUUCGGAUCGGCCGUUUGUCGCGGUUUCCGCGUCAUGUGGCUGAGAAGUUCAUUAAACCCUCCCACCUAGAGGAAGGAGAAGUCGUAACA
rnacentral:rRNA from 1 species